CUGGUUGAUCCUGCCAGACCCGACUGCUAUCAGAGUGGGACUAAGCCAUGCGAGUCAACGCAGCAAUGCGUGGCAUACGGCUCAGUAACACGUAGUCAACAUGCCCAGGGGACGUGGAUAACCUCGGGAAACUGAGGAUAAACCGCGAUAGGCCAUGGUUUCUGGAAUGGAUCAUGGCUGAAACCUACAUGGCCCCUGGAUUGGACUGCGACCGAUCAGGCUGUUGGUGAGGUAAUGGCCCACCAAACCUGUAACCGGUACGGGCUCUGAGAGGAGGAGCCCGGAGAUGGGCACUGAGACAAGGGCCCAGGCCCUAUGGGGCGCAGCAGGCGCGAAACCUCUGCAAUAGGCGAAAGCUUGACAGGGUUACUCUGAGUGAUGUCCGCUAAGGGCAUCUUUUGGCACUUCUAAAAAUAGUGCAGAAUAAGGGGUGGGCAAGUCUGGUGUCAGCCGCCGCGGUAAUACCAGCACCCCGAGUGGUCGGGACGAUUAUUGGGCCUAAAGCAUCCGUAGCCGGUUCUGCAAGUCUUCCGUUAAAUCCACCUGCUUAACAGAUGGGCUGCGGAGGAUACUACAGGGCUAGGAGGCGGGAGAGGCAAGCGGUACUCAGUGGGUAGGGGUAAAAUCCUCUGAUCCACUGAAGACCACCAGUGGCGAAGGCGGCUUGCCAGAACGCGCUCGACGGUGAGGGAUGAAAGCU
rnacentral:rRNA from 1 species